rnacentral:rRNA from 1 species
AGAGUUUGAUCCUGGCUCAGGAUGAACGCUAGCGACAGGCUUAACACAUGCAAGUCGAGGGGCAGCACAGGUAGCAAUACCGGGUGGCGACCGGCGCACGGGUGAGUAACGCGUAUGCAACUUACCUAUCAGAGGGGGAUAACCCGGCGAAAGUCGGACUAAUACCGCAUGAAGCAGGGGCCCCGCAUGGGGAUAUUUGCUAAAGAUUCAUCGCUGAUAGAUAGGCAUGCGUUCCAUUAGGCAGUUGGCGGGGUAACGGCCCACCAAACCGACGAUGGAUAGGGGUUCUGAGAGGAAGGUCCCCCACAUUGGUACUGAGACACGGACCAAACUCCUACGGGAGGCAGCAGUGAGGAAUAUUGGUCAAUGGGCGUAAGCCUGAACCAGCCAAGUCGCGUGAGGGAUGAAGGUUCUAUGGAUCGUAAACCUCUUUUAUAAGGGAAUAAAGUGCGGGACGUGUCCCGUUUUGUAUGUACCUUAUGAAUAAGGAUCGGCUAACUCCGUGCCAGCAGCCGCGGUAAUACGGAGGAUCCGAGCGUUAUCCGGAUUUAUUGGGUUUAAAGGGUGCGUAGGCGGCCUUUUAAGUCAGCGGUGAAAGUCUGUGGCUCAACCAUAGAAUUGCCGUUGAAACUGGGGGGCUUGAGUAUGUUUGAGGCAGGCGGAAUGCGUGGUGUAGCGGUGAAAUGCUUAGAUAUCACGCAGAACCCCGAUUGCGAAGGCAGCCUGCCAAGCCAUGACUGACGCUGAUGCACGAAAGCGUGGGGAUCAAACAGGAUUAGAUACCCUGGUAGUCCACGCAGUAAACGAUGAUCACUAGCUGUUUGCGAUACAGUGUAAGCGGCACAGCGAAAGCGUUAAGUGAUCCACCUGGGGAGUACGCCGGCAACGGUGAAACUCAAAGGAAUUGACGGGGGCCCGCACAAGCGGAGGAACAUGUGGUUUAAUUCGAUGAUACGCGAGGAACCUUACCCGGGUUUGAACGCAUUUCGACCGCUCUGGAAACAGAGCCUCUAGCAAUAGCGAUUUGCGAGGUGCUGCAUGGUUGUCGUCAGCUCGUGCCGUGAGGUGUCGGCUUAAGUGCCAUAACGAGCGCAACCCUUGCCACUAGUUACUAACAGGUGAUGCUGAGGACUCUGGUGGGACUGCCAGCGUAAGCUGCGAGGAAGGCGGGGAUGACGUCAAAUCAGCACGGCCCUUACAUCCGGGGCGACACACGUGUUACAAUGGCGUGGACAAAGGGAAGCCACCUGGCGACAGGGAGCGAAUCCCCAAACCACGUCUCAGUUCGGAUCGGAGUCUGCAACCCGACUCCGUGAAGCUGGAUUCGCUAGUAAUCGCGCAUCAGCCAUGGCGCGGUGAAUACGUUCCCGGGCCUUGUACACACCGCCCGUCAAGCCAUGGGAGCCGGGGGUACCUGAAGUCCGUAACCGCGAGGAUCGGCCUAGGGUAAAACUGGUGACUGGGGCUAAGUCGUAACAAGGUAGCCG